rnacentral:rRNA from 1 species
AUUGAACGCUGGCGGCAGGCCUAACACAUGCAAGUCGAGCGGGGUUUUCGGACCUAGCGGCGGACGGGUGAGUAAUGCGUAGGAAGCUACCCGAUAGAGGGGGAUACCAGUUGGAAACGACUGUUAAUACCGCAUAAUGUCUACGGACCAAAGUGUGGGACCUUCGGGCCACAUGCUAUCGGAUGCGCCUACGUGGGAUUAGCUAGUUGGGGGGGUAAUGGCUCACCAAGGCGACGAUCCCUAGCUGGUUUGAGAGGAUGAUCAGCCGCACUGGAACUGAGACACGGUCCAGACUCCUACGGGAGGCAGCAGUGGGGAAUAUUGGACAAUGGGCGCAAGCCUGAUCCAGCCAUGCCGCGUGUGUGAAGAAGGCCUUCGGGUUGUAAAGCACUUUCAGUAGGGAGGAAGGGUGUUGUGUUAAUAGCACAGCAUUUUGACGUUACCUACAGAAGAAGCACCGGCUAACUCUGUGCCAGCCGCCGCGGUAAAAC